rnacentral:rRNA from 1 species
GGAGCCGCAGCGAAAGCGAGUUUUGACUGAGCGAUCAGUGACUUGUCGUAGAACCGAGACCGGGCGACCUACCCAUGAGCAGGAGGAAGCGAAAGUAAAAUUUCGUGGAGGUCCGAACCCACGAGCGUUGAAAAGCUCGGGGAUGACUUGUGGGUAGCGGUGAAAUUCCAAUCGAGCCCGGAGAUAGCUGGUUCUCCCCGAAAUAGCUUUAG